CCUACGGGAGGCAGCAGUAGGGAAUUUUCGUCAAUGGGCGCAAGCCUGAACGAGCGAUGCCGCGUGAGUGAAGAAGGCCUUCGGGUCGUAAAGCUCUGUUGCGGGGGAAAAAAGGCAGCAUCAGGAAAUGGGUGCUGACUGAUGGUGCCCCGCCAGACAGUCACGGCUAACUACGUGCCAGCAGCCGCGGUAAUACGUAGGUGGCUAGCGUUAUCCGGAAUGAUUGGGCGUAAAGGGUGCGCAGGCGGUCCUGCAAGUCUGGAGUGAAACGCAUGAGCUCAACUCAUGCAUGGCGUUGGAAACUGGAGGACUGGAGAGCAGGAGAGGGCGGUGGAACUCCAUGUGUAGCGGUAAAAUGCGUAGAUAUAUGGAAGAACACCGAUUGCGAAGGCAGCAUACCGGCGCCCGACUGACGCUGAAGCACGAAAGCGUGGGUAUCGAACAGGAUUAGAUACCCUGGUAGUC
rnacentral:rRNA from 1 species